rnacentral:lncRNA from 1 species
GGCGGGCGGGCGGACCGGCGCAGCGAGCGCCGCGGGCCCGGGCGGCCCCACAGGCGGAACGAGCGCGCGCGGCCCGGCGUCCCCGGCCCCUCCGCCGCCCGGCCCCGCGGGCGACCCCGGACCAGCAGCCCCCGUAACCUGCGCGCUGCCCUAGGGCCCGGCCGACCCGCGGCCCGGUUGGUCAGCACAUUGUCUCAAGUAGCCUUUUGAUGUCACUGUGGCCAUGGCCAACUGGUAGGACCAGCACCCCAUACCCCGAAGCCAG